rfam:Triticum aestivum genome assembly, contig: Triticum_aestivum_CS42_TGACv1_scaffold_033231_1BL
AAAGUACUCUCUCCGUCCCAAAAUUCUUGUCUUAGAUUUGUCUAGAUACGGAUGUAUCAAGUCACAUUUUAGUAUUAGAUACAUCCGUAUCUAGACAAAUCUAAGACAAGAAAUUUGGGACAGAGGGAGUAGUUG